UUACACCUGUAUCAAGAGCAGCACACGGUAACAGGGAUCUACAUAUAAAAGCCGAGUGCAAAGUGGUCAUCAAAUCUAAAUUCUCGCUGUGAAUGUUUCCUUCGCUCCCAGGCCCUUCGUGGUCACAUUUUAUGAAGAAAAGCCGCAAAACCUCGCCUAGUUUACUGGUACGCUUCGGGAGGACCUCGAGACAAGAGAGUCCCCAGACAGGUGAGAAGCAACUAGGAUGGAAGUCCUCAAACACCCCACACUCAAGCCAUCUUGACUGAAUUACUUGUGGUUUUACACAGCGUGCUCCCUAAUGAAUGGCUGAGCAGGCAGGAGGACUUCUCAGAAAGAGGAAAAGAGAUAACCAACUCUACAGGGACUUUUUAAGAUUCCAUAGGACCUCAGCCAUUCAUUCAUUAAAACUAUUAUGGUCCU